rnacentral:rRNA from 1 species
GAUGAACGCUGGCGGCGUGCCUAAUACAUGCAAGUCGAGCGAACGGACGAGAAGCUUGCUUCUCUGAUGUUAGCGGCGGACGGGUGAGUAACACGUGGAUAACCUACCUAUAAGACUGGGAUAACUUCGGGAAACCGGAGCUAAUACCGGAUAAUAUUUUGAACCGCAUGGUUCAAAAGUGAAAGACGGUCUUGCUGUCACUUAUAGAUGGAUCCGCGCUGCAUUAGCUAGUUGGUAAGGUAACGGCUUACCAAGGCAACGAUGCAUAGCCGACCUGAGAGGGUGAUCGGCCACACUGGAACUGAGACACGGUCCAGACUCCUACGGGAGGCAGCAGUAGGGAAUCUUCCGCAAUGGGCGAAAGCCUGACGGAGCAACGCCGCGUGAGUGAUGAAGGUCUUCGGAUCGUAAAACUCUGUUAUUAGGGAAGAACAUAUGUGUAAGUAACUGUGCACAUCUUGACGGUACCUAAUCAGAAAGCCACGGCUAACUACGUGCCAGCAGCCGCGGUAAUACGUAGGUGGCAAGCGUUAUCCGGAAUUAUUGGGCGUAAAGCGCGCGUAGGCGGUUUUUUAAGUCUGAUGUGAAAGCCCACGGCUCAACCGUGGAGGGUCAUUGGAAACUGGAAAACUUGAGUGCAGAAGAGGAAAGUGGAAUUCCAUGUGUAGCGGUGAAAUGCGCAGAGAUAUGGAGGAACACCAGUGGCGAAGGCGACUUUCUGGUCUGUAACUGACGCUGAUGUGCGAAAGCGUGGGGAUCAAACAGGAUUAGAUACCCUGGUAGUCCACGCCGUAAACGAUGAGUGCUAAGUGUUAGGGGGUUUCCGCCCCUUAGUGCUGCAGCUAACGCAUUAAGCACUCCGCCUGGGGAGUACGACCGCAAGGUUGAAACUCAAAGGAAUUGACGGGGACCCGCACAAGCGGUGGAGCAUGUGGUUUAAUUCGAAGCAACGCGAAGAACCUUACCAAAUCUUGACAUCCUUUGACAACUCUAGAGAUAGAGCCUUCCCCUUCGGGAGACAAAGUGACAGGUGGUGCAUGGUUGUCGUCAGCUCGUGUCGUGAGAUGUUGGGUUAAGUCCCGCAACGAGCGCAACCCUUAAGCUUAGUUGCCAUCAUUAAGUUGGGCACUCUAAGUUGACUGCCGGUGACAAACCGGAGGAAGGUGGGGAUGACGUCAAAUCAUCAUGCCCCUUAUGAUUUGGGCUACACACGUGCUACAAUGGACAAUACAAAGGGCAGCGAAACCGCGAGGUCAAGCAAAUCCCAUAAAGUUGUUCUCAGUUCGGAUUGUAGUCUGCAACUCGACUACAUGAAGCUGGAAUCGCUAGUAAUCGUAGAUCAGCAUGCUACGGUGAAUACGUUCCCGGGUCU